rnacentral:lncRNA from 1 species
AGGGUGAAAGAGCUACCUUCUGUUCAUCCCCAAAUAGGAAAAUACACUCGUCCUGACAAACCGUCCCCUCUGACUUUGGAAAGCAUACUGCCUGAAUGUGGAGUAAAGGAAGCCAAGGGUUUGAGUUCCUUCUGGACAAACUACGGAAAGUUUCUACCGAGUCUGGAAUGAGGAAAUAUCCGUCGUGUCCGCCAACAAGAUGAAAAUGAAGAGUGUUUCAUGACAGCUCUUUCUGCUCGCUGAUUUGUCGGGCAAACAACUAACCCAUCCACUCUCACUGCAAUUUGGAAAUCUUUCAAUAUUCAAACCCUUUUCCCCUGACUUGAGCUUUUGCAUCAUAAAUGAUUUGCAAAUGUCAGACUAGGAGGUUUUUUCUUAUUAUUAUAGUUAUUUGUUUCUUGAAAUGAAUUGAAGUGGAUUCUCCACUGGCACUUGUAUAACUAACUGUACAGGGCGAGUCAAAAAGUGAGUGACCGAGUUAGAACUAGCAAGCACUCAGAGAACGCAAACCUCCAUUAAGGCUUAACAAUUCUCUGCCGUAUUGUCAGUACACCUAAAAGAAAUACUGGCAAUGGUGAAGAUUCCUGUGAAAAAAAUCCUGGAUCCAGAUCACUUCCAAAGUCUAAUCGAUCUGUACUUUGCAGCAAGGACCACCUUAAAAAGUUUGUUUUGCAAAUCCAUCCAUAACUUUUUGAGUUUCCUUGUUAACAGACAAACCAACCAACCAACAAAUUAAUCAAACCCGAUGAAAGCAUAACCUCCUUGGCGGUGGUACAUGUAAUAAAUGCAAAACAUACGUUGCUCACUCUGUUUGAUAAAAUAAUAUGAUGUUGUUUACUAGUAGCUGUGAAGAUUUCAGGUGCUAUGCGUACUCUAUUCACAAGUUGUUUGUGUUUUAAUACAAAUAUCCCAAAAUACAGCUGUCCACCACUGGUCAUUUACCGAUACGCAUUGAUGAUUCCCCUUUUUAUGUAGGCCUACAAUAAGCCAUGGAGGUUUUCCUACUCUACAUGAAUGAAUGAAAACUUGUAAAGGAAAGAAACAAAAAUCACCAUCAUCGUUUCAGAAAAAGACUUGAUGUGUUCUUUAUAUACAAAACACAAAAUCUGACAGUGAAAUAAUGUCUGAGUUUUGACACAAAUUAUUACAAUCUCAUUUGUAUUUGAAUGCCCAAAUGUAAUCUCUGGUUCUAACUCAGCUGAAUAGCUUCAGAAUGGCAUUCCAUGGACAGGUAUAAAAAUGGGUUAUUUUAGUAAAACAUGCGUAACUGCUGAUUGCAUGGAUCUAUGCCAGUAAUUCUCUCUUUUUUAGAUAAGGGGAAGAACAUGCUCUUUUAAAACAUGCUUUAUUGUUUGUUUUUUUGUCAAACUUAAUCGUUGUAAGGAAAAGAAAUCAUCAGUGAAGGUCACUUUAUGUUUGGCACACCCAGUGGAGAAAGCUGAAGAGUGAAAUGUUCUAUUUUAGAGGCGGAAGUAAAACCCCAUUAAUUGUUUUGUGGAAAUCAGUGGACCAGGUCGAGACGGAAAGCCUCAAUUCACAAGUGGGCCUUGGUGGGAUUUGAACCUAGGCCAUCCAGUUGAAAGGUUAGGAAAGUUGCACUGCAUUAACCUGCACUCCUGGCAUUUAGCUUAGAAGGUUUUUUUUAUUAGCUUUUGUUUUAAACUUGGCAUUUGCCAUAUGAAUUUCAUAUACAUGUAGUUACUUUCAUUGAUUUUGUUAAAAGUUGAACUAAGAAAUUGACUGUGAUGGGUUUGAACCUGUGACCUCCGGGUUACUGUUCCAGUGCUCUACCAGAUGAGCUAUCCAUCGCUAUGUUAGCAGUUCCCCUUUUCAUCAGUGUCUUUGUUCAAGCAUUAGUGGAACACCGGAACAGCAAUCUAAAGGUUACAGGUUCAAACCUAUAGUCUGAGUAUCACCCGUUAUCCUCAGAGCCAAGUCUCUUGUAUAAAAGUCUAAUUCAUCAAAGUAUGCAGAUUUAUGCAAUCACGUGGCUCAGCCAAUCGGAGUCGACUUUACUAAAUCAUGACGUCAUUUCAUUCCCAAAUCAGACUAAAUGGUGUGAUUGGUCAAUUCAAAUGCAGUGUUUUGUAAUACAACAAUUUGUAAUACAACAGCCCGGCGCCUAUCGCGUAACAUGAUACAGAGCGCAUGACCACAGCCUUUGUUGCAGUGUCCAGGGUAUUUUUUUAUUCAUGUCUAUGACGCAACAACGUUGAAUGACCAAACAUCCGAUAUAGAAAGCGCCCGCUGAUUGGUCAAAAUCGGAGGUCAAUGCCAUGGUCUAUGUAGUUCAAACCCCCCUCCAGUCAAUUUCUUUCUUCAACUUUAAACAAUUAUUAUAACGCACCUAGUAGUUCUCUUUAUGGUUUAAUUGAAUCCUUCUUAUUUAUGGAAAAUACAUAUUAUCCAAGGAUAAAUCCACUACAGUAAAAUGGAUAAGAAAAAAUUUGAGGGGGAAAAGACAAAAAGGAUCACUGAAGGGUGAAGUUAAGGUUUUUGUUGAAUCGGAUGAAUUUGGAAGAGUAUAAACAUAUGAAUCUGAUUAAUUUAAAAAGUAUAAAAGUGUUUUAGUCAGACGAGUUUUAACACUCUCAUCGUAAUUAAAGCUGAGUGGAAUGGAACAUUCCAUAGGUCACUGAAUGAAAUUAUUCUUUCCAUUGCCAGAAUGUGAAACAUUUUUGUUUUAUACAAAUGCCUCAAUAAAUCAUUGUCAUCUGAUUGGUUACUUGCAAACUGGUACUAUAUGAAUGUACAGCAUCAGAGCCAUCAGAGCUGUGUUUAUAGCGCAACCAGUAGUGUGACCUUUGACCUUGCAAUGGAAGUUCUAUUUAGUGGAACUUCUAUUUUGGAGUGUGACUGCGCAAUUCGUUGGAACGAAUAAUUCAAUGACGUGAUCAACGACCCAUCAAUAAGAUUAUGGGGAUUUAUUCGUGCAGUAUGAAAUAUCCUACUUGAUUGCAAGUAACUAAAUGUGAUGAUUUAAGCAUCCUGUGAAAUCGCAGCUCCUGGUAUGCUGUCAUCUUCAAGAAAAGAUAACUAGCUUCCUUGUUGACGGUGGAACUCUUUUAGUUUGACAAACACUCCCCUCUAACAUUGGAAAGCAUACUUCUGAAUGUGGAGUAAAGGUGAGAUUCCCUCUGGCUUUAUAUUUCUCCCUCAGUUUCUCUAUAAGUUGGUGGUUGUUCCCACGGAAAGGUUGUUACCAAAUUGAAUAGGUGGUAUUCAGUGGAAAGUCAGUUCUGGGCAUUCCAAGUUUAGUCCGCUUUAUUACGCCUAUUCAUAGGAAAAUGACAUGCAGUUUUUUCUUCAAACAUCCCACCCCCUCGAUUCUAUGGCAUUUUUUUUGGGGGGGGGGAAUUUCUGGCAAUAAAAGAGUUCCACCGUCAACAAGGAAGCUAGUAGCAAAUGAUUUUAUACAGACCUCGGCCUGCUGGACUGUGUAGAAAAAAUAAACCCUGGAUUUCUGUUGAAUAGGACAAGAAAUAGUUCCUUCUCAGAGCAUUAUAUAUAUAGCUCCAUAUGACCACAUUGAUCUACUGUUUCAUUCUGACUUUACCACAAAAAAAAGAAGGAAAUGAAAAACUUAAAGUUUCCUAGUUUUCAUUCAGUGGAAAAUUUGCCGUGUUAUGCGAUGUACAUUUUGGUAUUUGGUUUUGCACUUGACUGAUAAAUUGUUUUAAGAACAGUGUACUGAAUGCUUUUUGAGAGCCUAUGCAACAGAGAAAAAAAUAGAGAACAUUUGGGUGGGACUUAAUGCUCAGUAUGUUUGACUGUUUCGGUAUUCAGUUAUUCAAAGUUGGAUUUGAUUGAAUAUUCACAACAUACCAAUCAAAUUUUUAGAUGUGCCAUACACCAGCCGAAAUGGAAUGCAUCAGUUGCUAAUGGUCACCCAA